rnacentral:piRNA from 1 species
UCAGGAAUAGGGGGACUUUUGCU